ACUCAGAGAUACAUCACAAAAUUGAAACUAAAUUCUAUCACAAAAUUUAUAUCGAUAUGGCUUACCUCAUUACAGCAAUAUACCAAAAGACACCAUGACAUCAAAACUGUUUACCCAGUUAACAAUUAAGAAGGAAAUAAAUUAUUAAAUACUAAAGUUUUAUCAAAUAAGCACAAUCUCUAAAAAAAAUAUUUUUUAAAAAAAUUGCAAACAGUCAAAAUCAAAACUUCUAAUUUUUUUUCAACGAUUUGUAAUUCGUAUAAGAAUACUUAACCUUUAUUUUGAAAAUUAUAUAAAAUUUUUUUUCGUUACCGUAACAUAUUUUUGUAAUUUUUAUCAAAAAACAAACUAAA
rnacentral:lncRNA from 1 species